CAUGCAGUCGAACGAUGAAACCUCCUUCGGGAGGGGAUUAGUGGCGAACGGGUGAGUAACACGUGGGCAAUCUGCCCUGCACUCUGGGACAAGCCCUGGAAACGGGGUCUAAUACCGGAUAUGAGCCUGGGAGGCAUCUCCCGGGUUGUAAAGCUCCGGCGGUGCAGGAUGAGCCCGCGGCCUAUCAGCUUGUUGGUGAGGUAACGGCUCACCAAGGCGACGACGGGUAGCCGGCCUGAGAGGGCGACCGGCCACACUGGGACUGAGACACGGCCCAGACUCCUACGGGAGGCAGCAGUGGGGAAUAUUGCACAAUGGGCGCAAGCCUGAUGCAGCGACGCCGCGUGAGGGAUGACGGCCUUCGGGUUGUAAACCUCUUUCAGCAGGGAAGAAGCGAAAGUGACGGUACCUGCAGAAGAAGCGCCGGCUAACUACGUGCCAGCAGCCGCGGUAAUACGUAGGGCGCAAGCGUUGUCCGGAAUUAUUGGGCGUAAAGAGCUCGUAGGCGGCUUGUCACGUCGGAUGUGAAAGCCCGGGGCUUAACCCCGGGUCUGCAUUCGAUACGGGCAGGCUAGAGUUCGGUAGGGGAGAUCGGAAUUCCUGGUGUAGCGGUGAAAUGCGCAGAUAUCAGGAGGAACACCGGUGGCGAAGGCGGAUCUCUGGGCCGAUACUGACGCUGAGGAGCGAAAGCGUGGGGAGCGAACAGGAUUAGAUACCCUGGUAGUCCACGCCGUAAACGGUGGGCACUAGGUGUGGGCAACAUUCCACGUUGUCCGUGCCGCAGCUAACGCAUUAAGUGCCCCGCCUGGGGAGUACGGCCGCAAGGCUAAAACUCAAAGGAAUUGACGGGGGCCCGCACAAGCGGCGGAGCAUGUGGCUUAAUUCGACGCAACGCGAAGAACCUUACCAAGGCUUGACAUACACCGGAAACGUCCAGAGAUGGGCUCCCCCUUGUGGUCGGUGUACAGGUGGUGCAUGGCUGUCGUCAGCUCGUGUCGUGAAAUGUUGGGUUAAGUCCCGCAACGAGCGCAACCCUUGUCCCGUGUUGCCAGCAGGCCCUUGUGGUGCUGGGGACUCACGGGAGACCGCCGGGGUCAACUCGGAGGAAGGUGGGGACGACGUCAAGUCAUCAUGCCCCUUAUGUCUUGGGCUGCAC
rnacentral:rRNA from 1 species